UACAGAGGUCUCAAGCGUUGUUCGGAUUCAUUGGGCGUAAAGGGUGCGUAGGCGGCGCGGUAAGUCGGGUGUGAAAUCUCGGAGCUUAACUCCGAAACUGCAUUCGAUACUGGCGUGCUUGAGGACUGGAGAGGAGACUGGAAUUUACGGUGUAGCAGUGAAAUGCGUAGAUAUCGUAAGGAAGACCAGUGGCGAAGGCGGGUCUCUGGACAGUUCCUGACACUGAGACACGAAGGCCAGGGGAGCAAACGGG
rnacentral:rRNA from 1 species